rnacentral:rRNA from 1 species
CGUAGGGUGCAAGCGUUAAUCGGAAUUACUGGGCGUAAAGCGUGCGCAGGCGGCUUUGCAAGACAGAUGUGAAAUCCCCGGGCUUAACCUGGGAACUGCAUUUGUGACUGCAAGGCUAGAGUGCGGCAGAGGGGGAUGGAAUUCCGCGUGUAGCAGUGAAAUGCGUAGAUAUGCGGAGGAACACCGAUGGCGAAGGCAAUCCCCUGGGCCUGCACUGACGCUCAUGCACGAAAGCGUGGGGAGCAAACAGG